UACCAUUUCAAGCAGGGUGCAAGGCCACCAAAUUCAAGUGCAGUUUCAUACCAUUUCAAGCAGGGUGCAAGGCCACCAGACAGAGAGUCGUGACCUCUCCCUCCUCCAUCUUGCAGAGACAGCCACGCCCACACUUCCGGCUUUUAUAGUCCCUCCCCCUCCCACCAGAUGGGGCGUGGCAUUCAUGGCGUGAUUGACAGGAGAGAGAGUCUCAACAUUAUUUAAACACUAAUAACUCAUUUAUUUUUCUUCGACGGGAAAAAUCCUUGGCACCUGAUGAGCGGAGGUGGACUCUGAUUAAGAUGGCCAAAAAUCACAGCCAUACGUGGUAGCAUUUUCUUCUAAAAUCAAUAUAGAGUGCAAACAGUGGUCAUUUAAUUUUAAUUAUAUAGAUGUCAAUUGAGUUUGUUCCUUUCAGUUCAAAAACCAUUUAUUAAAACCACAUUAGGACAUGUUUGCUCACGACAACAGGCAACAAUUGGUUUUACGUGAACACUUCACCCUGACAUCUGUUAGUUUUUAAUCUGCUAUUUCUUCCUUACGCGAAACAGCUGUUGGGGCAGUUACUUCAGGACAAAGGAUUGUGGUUGCAAUGCUUGCGUGUCCAGAUGUGAGGCAUUAUCUCACAACUCAGUCAUGUCUUUCGUGGCAGAUUAGUGCUAAUCGCUAUCAUGGAAUGUUCCGGAUGCAUGUUCAAUCAUGUCGAGGUUCUGUGCUCGAGCCAAAACAAGCCGCUUCAAGUGUCCAAACCUGAGAACGUUCCUCCCUUCACCCGGGAGUGCUCGUCCUUGUGUCACUCUCAGGUAUAACUCAUGUGCCCCAAAUGUGUCAGCCUGGUUGUAAAUUUUGCAGAGAGAACAGAAAUGAUGCUCCUUCGACGGACGGAGGAACAGGUGUGAGGAUCAAGAGGGCAAAGAUUUCUCGACCGUCGGUUGUAAGUUAUUCCAACAUCAAAGAGGCAGUGUCAUCGCACGAGUUCAUUCAGAGGGAGGAUGCAUUCUUCAAAUAGUCCGACUCCUGUGAACAUCAGCCAUGUUGGCUGUGAUGGAAAUACGUGGAUCAGUGGAUUUGUUCCUUCCAUAAAUUCAUCAAUUCUGGUGCGUGACCAUCCAUCCUUCUCGAUAUUGUGGACGUAACACGUUGAACGAAACUACCAAGCUCUCUGAAGCUACGGAAGAACACAUGAACCAUCUCCUCUGCUAGCAGACUGCAGCAAUGAAAACAAAAAUUAACUGAAGGAUAUCGGGAAGGACAAUUAUGCACCUUAUCGAAGACCUGGUCACAUUCUCAUAUCUCUCCAGCCAUCAGCCAGCAGGUAACAGUAGUGUGAAAACCAUGACCUCCAGGUUCAAGAACAGCUUCUUCCCAAUAACCAUCAAGCUCUCGAACUCCGCAAACGCGAACUAAACAAUGAACAGCGACCAGUCUUGGUUGCUCUAAGGACUUUGUGCUUAUUGCAAUAAUAUUGUUUGUUUUUUUAAUUUAUUGAUUUUUUUUUUUGUUUAUUAUGUUAUCGAUGAGAAUUGUGUUCAAUGGCCUGUUAAGCUGCUGAAUUUCAUUGAGGUUGGUACUAUUGCAGGCAUUAUUCCUACGCUUAAGAAACAUUUAGACAGGUACAUGGAUAGGACAGGUUUAGAGGGAUAUGGGCCGAACACAGGCAGGUGGGACUAGUGUAGAUGGGACAUGUUGUUCGGUGUGGGCAAGUUGGGCUGAAGGGCCUGUUUCUACACUGUAUGACUCUAUGAUCUGUUUUGAUACAUUGAACAACCUUGACUCUUGACUUUUGACAUUAGCAUAAUUUCAUUACAUUUGACAUGUAUUGAAGGGCCCCAAAGAUGUCAUUUAUUUACUCGGGCCACCCCUCUCCAGUUAUUCUCCUGAUAUUUUAGUUUAGUUUAGAGAUACAGCGUGGAUGCAGGCCCUUCGGUACCGGUCCCCGCACAUUAACACUAUCCUAGUCACGGGGCGAAUGCACAAACAGGCAGCGCCCGUAGUCAGGAUCGAACCCAGGGUCCCAGGCGCUCUAAAGCAGAAAUUCUACCCCCUUAUUCUCUGCAGUAAUUGUUCACCUUGUAUCUGAGUGAAGCAAGGCUGCUGCCGGUUUCUCUCGUUAACUUGUCAACAGCUACUCAUCACAGGUUGUCUAGUGGGAGGCAUUUUCAGCCGGGUGGAAGAUGAAUGGCUGGGGUGUUGUCCUGCAGGUGGUUUCUGUUAGCAGCGGGAGUUGCAGUCCGAAUUUACGAAAAAUAAUUUGUGUUUUUUUGCUGGGUUUUGUGGUUAUGAAACCUGAAUAAGGACUGACGGGGUCCAAGAAGGAACUGCAGAUGCUGGAAAGUCGAA